rnacentral:rRNA from 1 species
UGGCGGCAUGCCUAAUACAUGCAAGUCGAGCGAACAGAUGAAGUGCUUGCACUUCUGACGUUAGCGGCGAACGGGUGAGUAACACGUAAGGAAUCUACCUAUAAGCGGGGGAUAACAUUCGGAAACGGGUGCUAAUACCGCAUAAUAUCUUCUUCCGCAUGGAAGAAGAUUGAAAGACGGCUCUGCUGUCACUUAUAGAUGACCUUGCGGUGCAUUAGUUAGUUGGUGGGGUAAUGGCCUACCAAGACGAUGAUGCAUAGCCGACCUGAGAGGGUGAUCGGCCACAUUGGGACUGAGACACGGCCCAAACUCCUACGGGAGGCAGCAGUAGGGAAUCUUCCGCAAUGGGCGAAAGCCUGACGGAGCAAUGCCGCGUGAGUGAAGAAGGCCUUCGGGUCGUAAAACUCUGUUAUAAGAGAAGAACAAAUUGUAGAGUAACUGCUACAGUCUUGACGGUAUCUUAUCAGAAAGCCACGGCUAACUACGUGCCAGCAGCCGCGGUAAUACGUAGGUGGCAAGCGUUGUCCGGAUUUAUUGGGCGUAAAGGGAGCGCAGGUGGUUUUUUAAGUCUGAUGUGAAAGCCCACGGCUUAACCGUGGAGGGUCAUUGGAAACUGGGAAACUUGAGUACAGAAGAGGAAUGUGGAACUCCAUGUGUAGCGGUGGAAUGCGUAGAUAUAUGGAAGAACACCAGUGGCGAAGGCGACAUUCUGGUCUGUUACUGACACUGAGGCUCGAAAGCGU